rnacentral:rRNA from 1 species
UCAGGCCUAACACAUGCAAGUCGAGCGGGGUUUUCGGACAUAGCGGCGGACGGGUGAGUAAUGCGUAGGAAGCUACCCGAUAGAGGGGGAUACCAGUUGGAAACGACUGUUAAUACCGCAUAAUGUCUACGGACCAAAGUGUGGGACCUUCGGGCCACGUGCUAUCGGAUGCGCCUACGUGGGAUUAGCUAGUUGGUGAGGUAAUGGCUCACCAAGGCGACGAUCUCUAGCUGGUUUGAGAGGAUGAUCAGCCACACUGGAACUGAGACACGGUCCAGACUCCUACGGGAGGCAGCAGUGGGGAAUAUUGGACAAUGGGCGCAAGCCUGAUCCA